CUGGAAGUGAGGGAUCAGCACGGGACUGCUGCAGGGGAAGGAAACCGGGAAAUCACAAAGGAAAUGGCUGGGUCAGAUAAAAUCCCCAGGCCUCCCUCUUGUAAAACAGGACGUUUCUGGUUCAGGAACAGAUGGGAAGAGAAUCCACUCCAUGGCUAACCCAGAGGAGAUGAAGGCUUUACAUUUCACAUCAGGAAAGAACUGGUCAAGGUCUAGAGGGCUUGAGCCAAGUGAUGCACUAAAACCUACCGUCUUCCAGUCAUUACAUGAAAUAUCUGCAGCAGAUGUUGGCUGUUAAAGGGCGCAGACGACACAGUUCAUGACUUCUCGGAGGCGGCUGCGCGCCACAUCUGCAGUCGAUGAAGGCGAGCACAGAAGUGUGGCAGACAGAAAGAAAACGUCAACCCAGCCAAGCCAACCCUCUUCCGUGCUGGAGAUAAAAAUAGAGGGGGUGUUUGCCCUGCU